rnacentral:rRNA from 1 species
CCACGGCAUGCCUCAGUACGGCGAGUGAGCGGCAAAAGCUCAAAUUUUAAAGCUGGCACCUUCGGUGUCCGCGUUGUAAUUUUGUGAGGCAUCUCCGGGUAGGGCGCCGGCCUAAGUUCCUUGGAACAGGACGUCAUAGAGGGUGAGAAUCCCGUGCUUGGCUGGCUGUCCCCGUCCAUGUGAGGUGUCUUCGACGAGUCGAGUUGUUUGGGAAUGCAGCUCAAAAUGGGUGGUAAAUUUCAUCUAAAGCUAAAUAUUGGUGGGAGACCGAUAGCGCACAAGUAGAGUGAUCGAAAGAUGAAAAGCACUUUGAAAAUAGAGUUAAAAAGUACGUGAAAUUGUUGAAAGGGAAGCGCUUGAGACCAGACUUCGGUGGGGGGUGAUCAGCUGUCCUUCUGGGCGGUGCACUUGCUCCCCUCCGGGCCAGCAUCGGUUGGGGCGGCGGGAUAAAGAUCCCGGGAAUGUGGCUCCUUUCGGGGAGUGUUAUAGCCCGGGUGAAUGCCGCCAGUUCCGACCGAGGACCGCGCCUUCGGGCUAGGAUGCUUGGCAUAAUGGUCUUCAGCGACCCGUCUUGACCCACCGGACCA